CUGUGCUUGUGGACUCUGAUCUACAGCAUGGAGCAGAGCCAGGCUGUGGGCACACAGCCUUUCCCAGCUGCUGGUGUUUCAGCUGAGACUACGCCAUGAAGGGAGCAAUCAACUCCAGCAAAGGGAAGGACAGCAAGCAGAUUAGAGCUGUGGAAGAUUCGAAGAGGAAUCAGACGGGAUGAAUCUACAGACACAACAGCUAAGAGAGCCCUGGCUGUCAGACCUAGACUCUUCAAUCAACAGAGACAAGUGACACCCCAAUCAUCCAGCAGCAAGGAAGAAGCUUGUGUUCUGGACAAUUCACCCAUUAGAGUCUGUUUGCUGAGCCCAUUGAGAGGACACAUUUUCUGUGCUAAAGAAAUUAAGAUCCAGCAGAGAGAGAAGUGAAGUUCACUUGCAACUUAGACUGCCAUCAUUUUCGCACAAUUUGGGGACAGAAUGAAAAAUAAACUCAGCUUAAUAGUUGCCUAAUAAAAUGUCUUAAUUUUUUAUUUCAAAAAGUCAGUGCUGGUCACAGUGAGGCACAACACGCUUUCACUCUUACCUUCAUCCUGACAUUAAUUGAAAGAUGAAUUUGUUUACUCUGUUGUGCUGUUUUAAAAAGUGUGGAUAACUCCACCCAUAACCCUACAACUUCCCACUCACAGUCCUUUUUAACCUUUUAAGCACUGCUUCUGACCCUCCAUCCUCCCGGCCACUGGAGCAGGCAUUUUCAAGCCAUAUCCAUUUUUAUUGACCAGAACCACACUGAAACCUCCAGCUCCCAACUGCAGCCCCCUCUGAAA